GAUGAACGCUGACGGCGUGCCUAAUACAUGCAAGUCGAGCGAACGGACGAGAAGCUUGCUUCUCUGAUGUUAGCGGCGGACGGGUGAGUAACACGUGGAUAACCUACCUAUAAGACUGGGAUAACUUCGGGAAACCGGAGCUAAUACCAGAUAAUAUUUUGAACCGCAUGGUUCAAAAGUGAAAGACGGUCUUGCUGUCACUUAUAGAUGGAUCCGCGCUGCAUUAGCUAGUUGGUAAGGUAACGGCUUACCAAGGCAACGAUGCAUAGCCGACCUGAGAGGGUGGUCGGCCACACUGGAACUGAGCCAGGGUCCAGACUCCUACGGGAGGCAGCAGUAGGGAAUCUUCCGCAAUGGGCGAAAGCCUGACGGAGCAACGCCGCGUGAGUGAUGAAGGUCUUCGGAUCGUAAAACUCUGUUAUUAGGGAAGAACAUAUGUGUAAGUAACUGUGCACAUCUUGACGGUACCUAAUCAGAAAGCCACGGCUAACUACGUG
rnacentral:rRNA from 1 species